CAGCUUUCAAAGCAAUUUGCUCUAUAAAGAGUUUAAUAAAACAAUUAUGGUAUCAAAUACCAAUUGAAAAGAUAUGGACUACUGUAUGGAGCCAAAUGAAGAGCGGCAAGGAAACGACAAGAAAGCCGAACGUCUCGCGAAAAGGAGGGAGCCAGCGAAGACGACAACGUUUGCUCGAGGAGACUGCUAAGGAAAGAGAAGCUCGCCUGGGAAAGCGUAGAGAAGCAUGGAAAAAAAGACUGCUGAAGCGAAAGGUAUUAAAGCAAAGGCUUGUCUUCACAACGCUAUGUACCAAUGAUACUGUAGCUAUACAAGUUUAAGUAUGAUAUUCGACCCUCUAUAUUCGACUAUUUCUUCACAAUUUUCCAAUAAAGAGUUUGUCAUGGCACGCUCAAGUCAGUAUAACCAGACUGUAUUUUAUUUAUAUCAGUUAUCACAGCCACAGGCAAUUUUAUGCUGUCAAAUACCGUCGGUGGCAACUAAGGGUGAACAGUUGCAGAUAAAACAUUCUCUAUUCUCAUUAAAAAGGCUGUAAAAGUUUCCAGUAGGUCUCUAGCCCAACAAGUUCAGACCAAGUUUUGUUACUUAUUUUUAUUGCACACAUGGGAAACAACAAUUAAAUGUUGUUGUUCUUGACAAACAUUGAAGAUUCUAAUCACGCGAAUGUUUUUAUGAGCGACUGUUCAUCGUUAGUUGCAAACGACGGUACAACGUACUAUGAACAUUUUUCCGAAUGUGCAACGAUAUAUUUUUCAAAGUUGUUAACAAUUCCUAAAAUUAGUUUAUAGUAAAACAGCCUGCUCAGCACUCACUACUCACCAUGAUUUCAUUUAGAAAUGCAGUUACCAGGAAAGGAACUGAUUCUAAAAUAUGUAAAAUUAAAAGCAUUGGCUAUUACGAUGUGAAGACAAGG
rnacentral:lncRNA from 1 species